CGCUCUGGAAAGCCGUCAGCUGAGGCGGGGCUGGGAAUUGCGGCGUUUUAUCUCUGGCGGAGGGGCCGGCAAUCUAGGACAAACCUGACUUUGGGGCUGGGGUUGGUGGUAGACGUCGUAGUAAUUAAUUCUAACGGGCUACUGUUUCUUGAACACUUUUUAUACUUAUUGGCUUGUUUAGUCUUCACAUCCCCCCUUCCUGAAAGAUGAAAAGCUAAAUGAGGCCACACAGCAGCGAGGGUCAAAGACUGCCAAUGUUAAAGAGAAGAGGCCUAGCAGAAGGCCAAGACCAGUGGAUGCGAGGCCCGAGAAGAAAGGCUAGUGACCUAGCUUAAGAAGAGUGUAAUAAAAGGAUUUUCCCAUUCCUGUGCUUAUACUCUCAAGACGCUGAGAAAAUGAUGCUUUCUAAUGUAAUAGCUUAUCUGAACUUUAAAUGUAGGAGGAUCCCUCCCCCCCUCAAAUAUAGGAACUCUUGAAGAUCCCUCUGAAGGCUUACCCAGGACAUCCAGCUGUACAGUAAAGGUGGCUUCUCCUGCUCUGUUUUUGGCCACACAUGCAUAGGCCCCUGCAUCUGAAGCUCUGACCACUUCAAAAAUGAGUGAAUGGAAACCCUUUUCAGACACUAUCAUUUUGUGAAAGUCAUCUGAUUGAACUGGUCUUCCAUUCAGAUACCAGGACACAUCAGGAGCUGGCAGUCCGCUUACCUAGGAAGGAAGACCCAAGAAGGAGAUGACAGAAUUUUAAAUUAUAUCAUCACUGGUACCUAUUUGUCCAUUUACAACUUUUAACAAUUCUAGUAUCUGAGUGGGUUUUGAUUCAAAAUGCAAAGCAAGAGCUUAAAAAGGUGUUUGUUCUCAACAGUGUUUUAACGAAACAGUAGAAAUUAAAACUCUUGAAAUCAA